GUAUUCAUUUCUGUCAUAGGUGAACAUAUCAGCACUGGCCACUUGGAAAGCACGACAAAGCAAAGAUUAUGGAGCGAAACCCUAAGACUUUUGACGAAGCACGUUUUCAAAUUCUUGAACUUGAAACGUCUCGCCGUGGCCACUGGCCACUUGAAAAGGACGAGAAGGCAAAUGGUCUUGAACCAAUGGUUCCUGUUAAUGUGACGGGUGGAAAACAUACAUUCUGGGCAAGCAGCCACUGCAUUGGCAAUGUCCGACGUGAACCCGGGCCAAAAUACAAUUUGGCGGGCCCUACGUUUGGUUUUUUCCACUCCUUGAAUGAUGUCGUCAGCCACAGAAAGCUCUGAAGAAAUCCUUUUAAAUAAGGAGACGUAGCCACCCUGAGCGCGAUCCACAUUAUCCGCCAAAAUUGCCAACUUGAGAUCAAGCCCAAUAUAUCGCUAAUGCCUCAAGCUCCACCAUAGCAUAUCGACUCUUGCAAUCCCUGAAGAAACGGGAUCCACAUUGGAUCAGCCUAGGAACACCCUCUUUCAGCUGAGUCAAGGCAAAUCCAAGGCCCAGUCUCAAAGCGUCCGUGACGCUUUGAGACUGAAUCGUCUCCAGACUUGGAUCAUACAUUUCCAAGACAGGAAGCGAAAUCAGGGCACGCUUUGCCUCCUCAAAGAGUUUUGUGUGCUCAGGGAGCCAAAUGAAAGCGCUUUUGGUCUUGAGAAGUGGAUGGAAAGGGGACGUGUAUGAAGCCAAAUUGGGUAAAAAUUUACCCAACUGGUUCACCAGACCCAGAAAUGACCUUAAAUCAAAUUGACAGUCCAAAUUGGAGACAGCACUCCAGGUCAUCACUAACUGACCGAACCAAUUUGGGAAGGGUCGUUUCUCCGCACGCCAUAUCGUCCACCACUUUGUGGACGUUCAAGCCGGCCAUGGCCACAUCAACACGGAACGAGAAAGAAUCCCCCGUGGAUACGAAUCCCAUGGGUGAUUGCAGAAACAUGAAUUUCCCAAAAGGAGUUAGAAAAGUGAUGAAUCACCAUCGGGUCCCCCACAAUAGGACCACGCAUUGGACGAAGGGUCCCAGAUUCGAAUACCUCCGCAUAAACAGCCUUGAUUUUCGUCUCCACUAUUUGCAGGACAUUCGGUACAAUCACCGAGGGAAGUUGGGAAAUCCAAAGCUCGCGAUCCUUCCCAAUCAUGGAUGAAAAAACGGGAGGUUGAGGAAGCAAUAAAGAUGCAACAGUGGCUUUUGGAGAUGGUAAGUUUGAAUCAAUGAUGGACAAAGCCACGCAAGCUUGGAGACUAAGGUAAGCAUCUUUUAACCCAUAGCACACCAUGAUAGGAAGCCCACUGGCAGUUUUACUACCGAUAGAUAAUGGGGCGGUAAACAUACCCAUUUGUUUUAAAGAGUUUCCGCCAAUACCAAUCCCUUCUUCGGGAGCACUCGAGAGAGAUGUAAUUUUGUUCAAACCGGAUGAUUUGAAGAGUAGAUCUCCCAUUACUGAGAUAUCUGCCCCGGUAUAGGCACAAAAUGUAAGAGAAAUCGGAGAACUUGUGUAACCUACAGGUCUUAGCCCGAUCUCAAAGAAGAUUCCGAAGACAAUUUGAGCAAUCUGAGGGAACCGACACGCACAGCUUGAAGAGGUUUUGAUCCAGGCAACGCUUUUGCAUCUUUUGUCUGAAAUCUGCAGACUUUGUCCCAAAGUCCCUUUUGAUGGCACAGACGACAAAAACUUUAAAAAGCAGGACAUUUCUCUGGAGGAUGAGCAGAAAGGCCACAGUACUUACAAGAAACGUUGUACGACUUCUUGAAAGACUUAUCCUUUUGGGAACGAUAAUGGGAUUUCACACAAGCCGCAAACACGUGAUUGUGGGAAGAACUCGUAGACAUCCCCUUGGCCCCAUGGGAAGACGUUUCAAGUUCAAGAAUUUGAAAACGUGCUUCGUCAAAAGUCUUAGGGUUUUGCUCCAUAAUCUUUGCUUUGUCGUGCUUUCCAAGUGGCCAGUGCUGAUAUGUUCACCUAUGGCAGAAAUGAAUAUCUGAUUUAUUCCGACAGGCUUUCUGGGUUUCCAAUGGUUGUUCAGUACCGCAAUAUGCCUGGUUCAUCCCUACUGAUUAGAAACUUUGCUCGGAUGUUUUCUUUGUUCGAUGUUCCCAAUAUUUUACAAACAGAUAUUGGACCUCAAUUUUCAUCGCGAGCAUUUUCUCUUUUCCUGGUCAAAUGGGGCGUUACGUGGAAAUCUUCCUCGCCUUAUUUUCCCCAGAGCAAUGGUCAUGCGGAAGUGAUAGCUAAAUCCGUCAAGCACCUUUUGGUCAAGACUGGGGGUGAUUUCGAUUCCAAGGAGUUUGCGGAGGGAAUGCUGGAAUUUUGGAACACGCCCAUGGCCGAUAGUCUCUUUGGGAGACCGCUUCGAUCUCGGAUCCCAGUCCAUGACGAUCUUUUGGUGGAUCCUUUGCGAGGGCCCACUCACGAUGAGAAACGACGAUCCAUUGAUUUGAGCCGACAGGCCAAGUCAUUGCCCACGCUUUCUAACGUUCAAAACCCCCAAUCACGCCGGUGGGACAAAGAAGCCAAAAUUAAUAAAUGUUAUCAACGACGCUAUUUAUUACAGUUCGACUCUGGUCAUAAGUCAUGGCGUAAUCGCCGUUUUUUGCGUGUCUCUCCUUCCCUUCCAGAGCCAGAUGAAUCUGAUUCCGAUGGAUACGCGUUGCCGUCAAAGUUUGAGAAACCCGAUCAUGAUCAAUCACCUCACGCUCAAUGUGACGGACGAACUCCGCGUAGAAGCGCUUGACUUUGCAACUCUCCUGACCGGCUGGCUUACCAUUAAUUGAAUCAAAUUUGUCAGUUAUCCUUUUUGACUUGUUUAUGUAUGUGUCCCAAAUUUAUAAAAAAAAAGGAGAGUUGUAAUGAUUGUUAGAGGUUGAGUUAUCAUAGCCACCAGCUUGUUCCAUUCUUGCAUCAACGGUUAUUUCCUCCAUCUCCAUGCCACCUCAUUAUUCUAGAAUUGUCCAUUGACCCGUUCACACGUGCUCCCAUCUCACCCGAAUUAUACAUACAUUUUAAAUACUUGGCUUACGAUCUUGCCGGGCACCCUUUAUCAGGAGCUCAAUCAACCUGACUUCAACGUGUGCGUCAAACUGAGACAGCUACAUUUAUGUCCCCACUUGAGAGUGUUAAUCAAAACCUCCACUACCACCUGCCUAUAUGUCCUAUACGAAGGCGAUACGGAUCAAAUACAGCGACAUUGUCCUUUCGAACUUCAACCAAAGAGUCAACGAACAGAACUCCGUCAAAUUUGCGUGCGAACUUUCCUGCUGUUCGCUAGACACUCAGAAGAGGCCAGCAUCACUUGUGCAAACGGGUCAAAAGACGUCAAGUACAAAACAGGAGUCACAACCCUGCAACUAUUGGAUGGAUGUACGUUCAAUGCCAAAGAACACUACAUCGCUACUGCCCGCAAUGAUUGGCUCAGCCCCACGAUGAUAGUAACAAAACCCCCAAAAAUCCUACCCUUCAAGCUAUCCCAACUCCUCCACCACAAUCAACCUCACCACCCCAUUCCCAAUGAAGACCUAAACUAGUUACUAUCACAACUAGAACAACCAGACGUGUCCCAGCCAAUACCGUUAUCCAACCUAGCAGCCAUGACCCGUCAAAACAAUCAAUCCAAUGCAUGGUCAUCACCAGCCCUAGUGAUGACCCUGAUCGCCGUAAUCAUCCUAUCCAGUGGUUUAAUCUGGUAUCCGAACUGCCAACCAAGGACACAAGGGUGCCCUUGGAAACCCAUCUCCUGUUAUGGUAAUCCCACAACCCAUCCAGACAACGACCAAGAUACGGCUACGAGGACGCAGCGCCUUCAUUCAGAGGGAGGCAACUGUAGUGAAACACCCUUUGACGAUGUUAUCAUCGAAUGAGCCUGGCGACAGACAGAGCAAUGAUGGCGACAGAACAAGGCGCCAACGAGUCCUAGGACGGCCAUCAAUAAGUAGACAGGCCCAAAGUUAUAGGCCUGAAAGAAGUGCAGUGUGCAAAUCAAGAAUGUAACAACUCUAAUCAGGAUUCCUGAACAUUAACCGCAAUAGAAUUGGCACAUAAAGAAAUGUACCCCUUUAACAAGUCAGCACCCCUGCUAACCCAAAAAUUGCGCAGUCUCUUUUGAUUCCUCCCACUAAGAAUAUGCCAAUCAUAAAUUGAAGCCAACAAGGAAAAGCCAAGAUAGCAGAACAGUCAGCUGAUAUUCAUAACCAGCCUUGCCAUCAACUCCGGUUCAAUAAGCCUCCUAUCAUACAGUAAGGUCUAUCUCGAAUAUAUACAUUAAGUCUUUGUAUACACCAGCUUCAAUCAUUUCAUCACCGGUCAAUUCGGAGUCGCUAUCCCUUUCAUCAUACUAUAGUCCCAGAACCACCGUCACGAGUGGAUGAUGGGUGGACUCCAGCCAAACGCCUAGAUCUGUACAAGAGGCAGCGCCUGUGCAUUCAAGGUGGUAUGCACAUAAGGAAGGAAUUGAGAAGAAUGGAUGUUGCUGACCCAACGGGGGACGACCCCACAUUCCCAAAAUUGAGGUCACUUCUCAACCAUAGGUAUCGUAAUACCACAGAUGAGUAUGAAGAGUUCUGCAAGCUCAUAGAUCUACAACAAGCCUUCUCUGAAACAUUCCAAAACUUCACUGACAAGCUCCACGACCUCUUACCACGAGCGGGGUUCUCUAAAGAAUUUGAGGGAACAAAGCAAUUGUUCCGCAUGCUGGUAUUACGCGGGACAGCUUCAUCCAAACUCAGAGAAGCAGCACGACUCCAAAAACGGAGCGCCUUUGAGCUGGUGGACAAGGCAACCGAAUUCGAGUCCUCAACCAGACCCAGUCAACAAACGCAAAGGGCUCACUCCAUCAAAUAUAACCAAGAGCCGACGAUACGUCAGAUGGGAUGGACGAGGGCGCCAUUCAUCGUGUCAUGGGCCAAUAUUCUAAACAAAGUCGUCAGAUGGAUCCGGCAUUUGCUGAUCGUACAACCGUGUGCUCCAGAUGCAGGAAUGUGCACAGCAAUCAACCAUAAUCUUGCCCUGCAAUGAGCUUGACAUGUCAAAGGGGCAUAUUAAAGGGGCACUUCGCCACCCAAUGUAAGACCCCACUUCCCUUACGCAAUGGACAGCGCGGAGGGAAAUUUGUACAAAAACGAGCCCAAACAUCAAGUGACCAAACUCAACUCACUUGGAAUGUGGAACAACGCCAAAGUGAUGAGCAAACGCCUCAAGUGUGCGCACUGGCACCAGCAUUAAACCCAUACGUUUACCAAAUCAGACCAAAACCCAAGCAGGUCUCACUUGUGAAGGUUGAAGUGAUCGUCGGGGUAAAGCUAUUACCGCUAUUGCAGAUACAGGGGCUCAAGUCAACGUGUUGCUCACUUCACAACUGACACGAGAACUCCGGGCUAACAUCACCCCAGCUUCUACCACAAUACAACCUUACUUGGCGCCAUCAAUGCCAGUCCUGGGAACCCUUACGACGGAUACAACCUUAGAAAACCAUACCCUCUUGAUGAAAUGGUUGGUAGUGGAAGAUGUGCGCGGGUUAAAUACACCAACACCAGCAUUAUUAUCAUGCACAAGCUGCCUUGACUUUAACCUUAUUACCAUUAAUUUUACACCCAAGACAAAUAAAAUUUCACAAAUUUAUAACCUCAAUA